rnacentral:rRNA from 1 species
GAUGAACGCUGGCGGCGUGCCUAAUACAUGCAAGUCGAGCGAACGGACGAGAAGCUUGCUUUUCUGAUGUUAGCGGCGGACGGGUGAGUAACACGUGGAUAACCUACCUAUAAGACUGGGAUCACUUCGGGAAACCGGAGCUAAUACCGGAUAAUAUUUUGAACCGCAUGGUUCAAAAGUGAAAGACGGUCUUUCUGUCACUUAUAGAUGGUUCCGCGCUGCAUUAGCUAGUUGGUAAGGUAACGGCUUACCAAGGCAACGAUGCAUAGGCGACCUGUGAGAGUGAUCGGCCACCUCAGAAAUGAAGAACGGUCGAGAAUACUAUGGGAAGCAGCAGUGGAGAAUCCUAGACAAUGGGCGAAAGCCUGACGGAGCAACGCCGCGUGAGUGAUGAAGAUCUGCGGAGCGUAAAGCGCGGUUAUUAGGUAAGAACAGAUGUUUAGGUAAAUAUGCACAUCUUGACGGUACCGAAUCAGAAAGCCACGGCUAACUACGUG